rnacentral:rRNA from 1 species
AUUCCAGCUCCAAUAGCGUAUAUUAAAGUUGUUGCAGUUAAAAAGCUCGUAGUUGGAUUUCUGGUGGGGCUGUCGGCCUGGUUCCGAAAGGGGUCGUGGUUAGUACACGCCUGGCCAUCCUCGGGGGAAGCUUUGCUGGCAUUAAGUUGUCGGCGGAGUGACGCUCGUCGUUUACUGUGAACAAAUUAGAGUGUUCAAAGCAGGCUUAGGCCGUUGAAUACAUUAGCAUGGAAUAAUGAGAUAGGACUUUGGUGGUCUAUUUUGUUGGUUUGCACGCCGAAGUAAUGAUUAAUAGGGGCGGUUGGGGGUAUUCGUAUUCAAUUGUCAGAGGUGAAAUUCUUGGAUUUAUGAAAGACGAACUUCUGCGAAAGCAUUUACCAAAGAUGUUUUCAUCA